CUAAAGGAGAAGCAGAAAUCCCAGAAGAUGAGCUCUAGCAACACCCCGCCGUACAUUGUGCUCAGUGGCAGUGGGAAGAGCAUGAACGCAAACACCAUCAUGAAGUGAAGCACCAGCUUCCUGUCACCGGUGGGAAUGCUUUGGAUGCAGUUCUUCUUGCAGGAUGCACAAGGACCAUCUCCAUCCCUUGCUUCUGGUGGGAAUCUUGUUCACGGGGCCUGUGCUCACCAAUCUUCUAUGUAUAUAGUUGUGGGGCUGAGUUUUUAAGCAACUUUUUGUAUCACUGUGUGAAACCAAAUUGCUGUAAUAAAAAUAAGCC